UGCUUCUCUGUCCUGCCACCUCAGGAAGACGUGCCUGCUUUCCCUUCUGCCGUGACUGUAAAUUUUCUGAGGCCUCCCCAGCCACACAGAACUCUCUGAAGAAAAUCUGUUCUUCGAGUGUACGACAUGGCUUUUAAAGGGGCAGUAAGAAUAUUCCAUAACCUCUUUCAGCUUUCUUGAAGCAAUAAGGACUACAACAAGCAAGAUGCAGGCUAUAAAGUUUCCUGAGUAAGACAAACAGAGUAACGGAGUAACAGACUAAUGGGACAAAACUGAAGACUUAAGCAAGAGAAAAGGG